UCAAGCAACUAAGCGCAUACGGUGGAUGCCUUGGCAGUCAGAGGCGAUGAAAGACGUGGAAGCCUGCGAUAAGGUUCGGGGAGCUGGCAAACGAGCUGUGAUCCGGACAUUUCUGAAUGGGGAAACCCACCCGAUUUCGGUCGGGUACCUUGCACUGAAUACAUAGGUGUAAGGGGCGAACCGGGGGAACUGAAACAUCUAAGUACCCCGAGGAAAAGAAAUCAACCGAGAUUCCCUAAGUAGCGGCGAGCGAACGGGG
rnacentral:rRNA from 14 species